UACAGAGGUCUCGAGCGUUUGUUCGGAUUCAUUGGGCGUAAAGGGCGCGUAGGCGGCGGGGUAAGUCUGGUGUGAAAUCUAGGAGCUCAACUCCUAAACUGCACUGGAUACUGCUCUGCUAGAGGACUGGAGAGGAGACUGGAAUUCACGGUGUAGCAGUGAAAUGCGUAGAUAUCGUGAGGAAGACCAGUGGCGAAGGCGGGUCUCUGGACAGUUCCUGACGCUGAGGCGCGAAAGGCCAGGGGGAGCAAACGGG
rnacentral:rRNA from 1 species